CUGUCCUUCAUUUGUUUUAGGUGUUUUUAGAAGGUAACUUUGUAGUAAUGUGUUUUACUGUCUGAUGUUUUAUUUCCUUGUACAGAGAGCUGACCUGUUGUCACAUAUUGCUGAUAAGGAAGUUGUUAUUAGGAGUUAAGAGUACAAACUGUCAAGACAUUUUGGAAUAAAUUUUUAAUUAAUUCUCAGAUGAGACCAGCAAGCAAAAGCUCCCAGAAACAAACAAGUGUAACUUGUAGCAGAACGGGGAAAUGUGUGCAAUUUAUCUAAGGAACUCGUGCAGAUGCAAAAAGAUAUUUAAGAUGAACAUGAGAACACUGUACCUACAGAAGGGUUGCCCCAGGAGCCAGCUAGCAGCAUGGGGGUGGAAGCUCCACAUGUUAAACACAGUCUGCAGCUAUGUUGCUCCCAGACCCUUUGACACUGCUGCUGGGUGACAGAGAAACAAGCCUUCAUCAGAUGACAAGUAGUCUGCAGGCUGUAGAACUAGUGAAGGGAAACUCCCCUACAAAAAUCAAGUCUGUGCAAGAACUACAGUUUUAAAAGGUGCAUAGGAGAUGAAGAUGAUCUUACGAGGGGAAGAUAAGUAUGUAUAUGCAGUUGAAUUGGGAUUAGGACAAUAAGAAGAAACCUGUGCAAGUUUUUCUCUUUUGAAAUUGGGUGUCAAACACUUGGAG
ensembl:lncRNA